ensembl:lncRNA
AUUUGUAGGAAAGCAGAAGUAAUCACUUCAUUUGCAAGAUGCGGUUUUUAUUUCACGGGCAGGACUGUUCCGGGAGGGGAAAACAGCUCCGCUCCAUCCCACGCAGUGCGCUCUGCCCCAUGCAGCACCAUUUACACACAGCACUGGGCGCGUUUGGGCCACCCUGGGCCACCCGGAGCCCUGGCCACAGCCAGAGCAUUCUCCCCCCAGUGUCCCCUUCCCCAUCCCACCACCCACUCAGUGGUCAGGCAGAAAUGAGGAGGGGGCUGCACCUGCCUCCCGUGCUGGGGACACACCCGGGGAUGUCCAUGUGGAGCUGUCAGCAUGGGGCACCUCCCACCCGAGAAAGGCAAACCCCGGGCAGCCCGAAGCCCCGAGCAGACACACUGCACCCACGCAGAAGCUGCUCCACGUGCCCACCAGGCCAUNNNNNNNNNNNNNNNNNNNNNNNNNAAAUCCAGCCACAGCGUGAGUGCCAGAGUUUAUUGGCAACGCGCAGAGAUGCCAGGGGGAGGGACGCAGAGGGGUCAGGAGGCAGCACCCCGGGGUGCCCGUGCUUGGGUCAGGCAGGGCUGUAGGAGCACCCAGGCUGUCCCCUCGGUCCUAGGGCCCCACGCAGGUGUAGGUGGUGUUCCCCCAGAGGAAGGCGGGGAUGGAGGACCGGAGCCACUGCAGGCCACGUAGGAGCUGCUGGAACGCUGGAGGAGGAGGCGCCUGCAGGGGAGAGCGGGGUGAGGGGGGGGCUCAGUGGGGUGCGAGGGGCUGGCCCACCCCCAGCUCCUCCAGAGGGGGAGCAGAGGCCGUGGGGGUGCUGGGGGGCAGAGCUCGCCCUCCCCGUGGAGCAUUGCCCCUGGCAGCCUCCUCUUGGUGAGGAAGUGAGCUGUGAUCCCUGCGCACCCAGUCCCUGCCUGCUUUGGAAAUCCUCUUUUUGGAUCCCAGGAACCUCCUGAGGUGGCUCAGCACCAAAUGCACCUUGCUGGGAACUCAGUUUUGGGGGACCCUGCCCCCGGCCCUCACCCAGCCCUUGCUCGUCCCCAAGCAGGGCACAGGCACUGGGGACGUGUCCCUGUUAUCUUCCCUUCCCUAAAACGCCCCCGUGCUGCUUUGGGAAGCGGAGGGAUGGCCAAGAGGGCGAUCAUGUCCCUGCCUGCAGGCUGGCUGUCCCCCUGUCACCUCCCGGAGCCCUGGUUUUGGGCUUUCAGCCGUGCUGGCUGGAGACAAGCUGCGAGGCUCACCCCUUCAGCAGGGUGCCGUCCAGCCACUUCCACUCAAACCUGGAGCUGUCCCGCUUCAGCCCCACGUGGAAGACGUCCAGAUGGGUCACGCGUGCCAGGAAAGCCUAGAGCAGGAGGGAACAAGCCUCUUCUUGGCAGAGGAGAAGUAGUAGCAGCGCCCCGCGUCCCCGAUCCAUCCGGCCGGGCAGAACUGGCAGCUCUCUGCACACCAGAAGCACGAUCCUGCAGGGCUGGCCGGGACGGGGCUGUCCCCAGCCCUCGGCACCGCGGUGACAGGGGGCAGCUGGGGUGCCACGAGGGCAGGGAGCCCAGGAACCUGCCUGGAAGCUCUCCUACCUCGCAAAGACUGCUGCACAUAGCGGAGGCUCUCCUCCUCUCUCUGGGCACAGCUCGCCUGCUGGGCUAAAUCUACAGAAGAAAGGCACGGGAGCGUCCCCCACCAGGGGCCGGUAGCACCCAGGGGGUGCCAUCCCCCUCCCUCGGUGCCGUGCCAGCCCAGCUGGACAAAGCCCUCGCCGUCUGUGCCCAGCACAUGGCAGGUUUCUGCCUUUUGGCCCCAGCGUCACGUCCUGUCUGCACGCCGUGGCCAGCUGAUGGAGCGGGGUGCCCCGGCGCCGUCCUCGAGCCCACGCUUUCCCCUCUCCCUCCUCUUCAGCGCUCCAGCCGGCCAGGCAAGGGGUGUUUUAUUUUUACUCACCACUUUUCCCACUCGCCCCACAGCCCAGAAACCUGCGGCACCGUCAGCCCCAAGCGGGAGGGUCCCCAGCUCGGGGGCUGGAUGGAUGGGGGCGCACAAGGGGGUACUCACAGUGGAAGCUCAAGCCGACGAGGACGAUUUGCACCAGCAGGAGCAGCAGGGACAAGACACCCAGGCUGAGGGCUGCCCAGUGCCAGGGCAGCCUCACGGGCUGCGGAGGAGCUGAGAGAGGGAAUUACCCCACGUCCUGGGGGCUUGAGGUCGGGGGCAGAACCCCCAAAUCAGCAAAGGUCUGUGAGCCCCAAGCAGGGGGCGUGGGGGUCCCCAGGCUCCCCAGGGACAGCAGAGCAGUGGUGUGAGCCGGAGCAGUGACACUGGGGGGGAUGAUGGGGGGGUGCCAAUGCAGCUGGGGUGCAGUGCUUGUGUCCCCCCCUGCUCCGAGAGCAGCUGCAUGGGCAAGGAGGGAGCAGGGCUGGGGGGCACGGCCCUGCAGAGGGGCUGCUGGAUUUUGGGGGGCAGGCAGGGAUGGGGGGGGGACAGCGGGGUGCAGCGUGCCGUUACCUGGUACGGGGGCAAGCGCAGAUCUGCGUACGUGACCCCCUCUUCCAUCCUUCCCUCGGUCUCUGGCCACGCACCCCGCAGGUAGGGGGGAGCAGCAACCCCCUCCCGGCCCCCUCUG